UCUACCUUAGAAGAUCACGGACAGCAUCAACUUUUUCUUCCGGGACGAUGGGGUUAAAUUCAUAAUCGGUCCGCCUCGCUCCCACGGUCAGAAAGCAAGGGGUGGAGGGGAGGGGGAGGGAUGGUCCGUCCAGCCUCAAGGCUCAACCCCCCUCCCCUCUCCCUCCACCUCGAUGACGAUGAUGUCAAGAAAAGCUUUCUCCUCUUUUAGUUUAUCUCUACAAACCUGUUAGAGCAGAAGAGUGUAUCGGCCAAGAAAUAAAUAAUAUAAAAAGAAUAAAUAUUCCAUGUAUAUAUCAUGCGACGGAAAUACUUUUUUACCCUUUAAACCGAAGACGAUUUUUGCGUACCGCAUACUUUUAAGGAUUUUAUUGAAGAAGUAGGUCACACAAUUCUCUCUCCCCCUUCAAUAUCACGUGCUAGGAGUUAACCUUCACCUACAAGAAGCAGGGAGGGGGAGAUGAGUUAUAUAGUAUAUAGAAAAGGGGGGUUAGGGAGGCAGGUAUAUUGUGGAAUGCCAUGGUUACAGAUUUCGGCAGAUGGCAACGGUUAAAACAUGUGUAGGAAGCAUGGAGUUUGUGAAAGGUGUCAACACAGCAGAGAGGGGAACUGGAGGAAAAUUCUGUAUCCAAAGGGGUACGGUCCGUUAGGUAAAAAUAUGAACAAAAUGACAGCAAGAUAUAAUUCUGGAUGUGGAAUAUGAUUUGUUGAAAAAUAACACUUUGGACACUUUGGAACACUUUAUUAAAAUCAUUUAGUUUUCAACUAUUCCAGCGAUGUUGCUUAACAAGUUCUUGAUGUUUUUCCUGAAUCUUAACCAACAAAAAUUCAAAUAAUUUCGCUCCCUCCAUUGAUAGCUGCUUCAUCAUUUCGAAAAUAGCCUUCCGUAAGUAUGGG